CAGCCAAGACCACACCGCUCCCUCUGGGGCGGAGGGCAACGUGGCCUGUGCUGGCCUGGGAAGUCAGCCGAUCACAGUGAGGGGUCAGACCGGAGGACGGCUCUGAACGCCAGGAGCAAAGAGACACCCGGAUGCCCAGCACACAGGCGGGCCCGUCCGAGAAGGUCAGGAAGAUGACUCCCUGAGGGGCAUCGUCCUCCGCAACCGAAGGGGAAGCGUGGCUGCCACUGUGGAAGCAAGCCGGCCGGACAAGCAGCGGCCCAGACCCAAAGCUUAAUUAGAGGCUGAGAGUCCAAAAAUGAAAUCCGUCAUCCCAAGUUCUCUGUCAGCUCACUCGCCAAGCAAAAAGGGAGAGGUAUGGAUGUGUUGCACCCUCCCAGCCCACCAGCGAAGACGGAGAGCAGAGGAGAGCAUUAGCAUUUAAGUGGCCUGUUAAUGUCUGGAAGCCUAAACAGUCACAGAACAGCAAUAAAGGAGCUCUUCAAAUGUUGCUGGAGAAUGUCCAUAAAGAGGAU